CAGUCCUAAUCCAAUUAGGACUCUAGGUAUCCUACCCGAAGUAGGAUUCUUGUUUCAAGUCCAAUUAAUUAAUUCCCUUUGUUCCUUCUUCAACUUCUUAUCAAUCAAAUUGAUUACUCGUGAUUCAUGAUCACUUUUCAACCAUCGGAUCGGUCAAUACUUCUAGUGUAUGUGACCCCAUAGGUUCUAUUCUGACUGGUAGUGAGAUAUAUUGUGAUCUCUAUCUCAAUAUCAUUGAAAACUCCUUUCAAUGGGUUGGAACGAUUCCAACUCUACUCAUUAGGGUUUAUCGAUCAUCAAGAUAAUCCCUAUGAGUCCCACCAUCCACCAGUGACACCUAGCAGCAUGUAGUGGCUACCCAGUAGAAUGGAAUGAUGAACCUCUAGGUGCAGUUAACAUGUGAU
rnacentral:lncRNA from 1 species